rnacentral:rRNA from 1 species
CAGUAGCGUAUAUUAAAGUUGUUGCAGUUAAAAAGCUCGUAGUUGGAUUUCUGGGUGGAUGAGACUGGCCCGCCACCUCUCGGUGCGUGUGUUGCCGGGUUUUCAUCGCCCAUCCUUCCGGAGAGGCAAGAGGUGCCCUUCAUUGGGUUGCUGAUUGUUGAUUCGGAUCCUUUACUGUGAACAAAUUAGAGUGUUCAAAGCAGGCUUACGCUGUGAAUACAUUAGCAUGGAAUAAUAAGAUAGGACUUUUGUCUUAUUUUGUUGGUUUAUAACGAUGAAAGUAAUGAUUGAUAGGGAUAGUUGGGGGUGCUAGUAUUCAACGGCCAGAGGUGAAAUUCUUGGAUUCGUUGAAGACUAACUUAUGCGAAAGCAUUCACCAAGGAUGCCUNCUUUAA